UAUUUCCCUGGACAUCAAUGUAAAACUACGACAUUAGUAGCAUUGUGAAUUGGAGAGCAGGAAGAUGGGAACAGAGAGGAGGUAUGGCAUGAAGUGGCAGAAGAAAUGGAAGAUAAGGCUGACCAAGGUGAAUUUAUGCUUUUUGUCCAAGCAAUAGAAGGAAGUAAGGGGGCAGAUACCAUUAGAAUUUUAGGGAUCCAUAAAAAUAGAG
rnacentral:misc_RNA from 1 species